rnacentral:sRNA from 2 species
GCGGUUGAUAUCUGAAUAUGGAUGGUGCUAGGACCGUACAUCUUCUGCUCCGCUCUUGAACAACUAUUCAAUUGGUACCCUACCUACAAUACACCUCUCUCGGGCCUGGCAGUUUGCUCCCGCCUACCGUCAUCCGUCCGCGACAGGAUUCUUUUCCACAUCUGCUUCCCCGACGAGAACCAGCAUGGGUAGAACGGGGGGGAGUAAGAAAGUUCUCAUCUCCCAUCGGACUCAUGCCAUUGAGCUAACUUUCUAGAGCCAUGACCAGGCUCGUUGUUCUACCUGCCUUAACUACAUCACUCUCACAGAAUUAGUUCAUCGUGUGGAUGGCGGGCCUAGAGCUCAGGUUUCUCAAGACAAUGAUCCCUCCCUUCUUAAAAUUAAUGAAAUGAAAUGAAACAAGAAUUGAAACUCCCUUUUCGAGACACGUUUCGUUACUACUUAGGCCAUGAUCAAAUUAUUAAACUAAACUCUUAAUAUAUAAAAAGCCUAACGAGGUUGUAGUCAAUGCGGGU